AAAGGAAUUGACGGGGGCCCGCACAAGCGGUGGAACACGUGGUUUAAUUCGAUGCUACGCGAGGAACCUUACCAGGGUUUGACAUGCUGGAAGUAGUGGCCUGAAAGGGCUUCCGACUUGUAACCAAUCAAGAACCAGCACAGGUGCUGCAUGGUUGUCGUCAGCUCGUGCCGUGAGGUGUUCCCUUAAGUGGGAGAACGAGCGCAACCCUCGCUAUUUGUUGCUACCUUCGGCUUUUAGUCGGAGCGCACUCUAAUAGGACUGCCCGCGUUAAGUGGGAGGAAGGCGGGGACGACGUCAAAUCCGCAUGGCCCUUAUGUCCUGGGCUACACACGUGUUACAAUGCUUACUACAAUGGGAUGCCAAACCGUAAGGCGGAGCAAAUCCUAUAAAAGUAAGCCCAGUUCGGAUUGAGGGCUGCAACUCGUCCUCAUGAAGCUGGAAUCGCUAGUAAUGGCGUAUCAGCUACGACGCCGUGAAUACGUUCCCGGGCCUUGUACACACCGCCCGU
rnacentral:rRNA from 1 species